rnacentral:rRNA from 1 species
GACGAACGCUGGCGGCGUGCUUAACACAUGCAAGUCGAACGGAAAGGCCCUGCUUGCAGGGUGCUCGAGUGGCGAACGGGUGAGUAACACGUGGGUGAUCUGCCCCUUACUUUGGGAUAAGCCUGGGAAACUGGGUCUAAUACUGGAUAGGACCAUGCUGUAGGUGGUGUGGUGGAAAGAUUAGUUUCGGUAAGGGAUGAGCUCGCGGCCUCUCAGCUUGUUGGUGGGGUAAUGGCCUACCAAGGCGUCGACGGGUAGCCGGCCUGAGAGGGUGGACGGCCACAUUGGGACUACGAUACGGCCCAGACUCCUACGGGAGGCAGCAGUGGGGAAUAUUGCACCAUGGGGGCAAGACUGAUGAAGCGACGCCGCGUGGGGGAUGACGGCCUUCGGGUUGUAAACUCCUUUCAGCCAUGACGAAGCCCUUGUGGUGACGGUAGUGGUAGAAGAAGCACCGGCUAACUACGUG